UGUGUAAAAACGAAGUGUUAAA
rnacentral:miRNA from 1 species